GACUUUUCAAUAGUUACUUCAAGUCGAAGACAAAGAAAAUUAAGGACCAUCAUUUUUGUCCUUCAAGAUUCUUUCAAUAGAUUGGAGAAAUUUUCAAGUCCAAAAAUCAAUAUUUUAAGUAUAAAAGAAGAUCAAGAGUUCAAUUUGAAUUCAUAAUGACUAUAUGGAUCCAUGGUCCUUAAUUUUCUUUGUCUUCUACUUGAAGUAACUUUUGAAAAGUC
rnacentral:miRNA from 1 species